GGGCUGGGCUCAGUGGUAGAGCGCUCGCCUAGAACAUGAGAGGCCCUGGGUUUGAUCCUCAGCAUCACA
rnacentral:tRNA from 1 species